UACGGAGGGAGCUAGCGUUGUUCGGAAUUACUGGGCGUAAAGCGCGCGUAGGCGGCUUUGUAAGUUAGAGGUGAAAGCCCGGGGCUCAACCCCGGAACUGCCUUUAAGACUGCAUCGCUGGAAUCCGGGAGAGGUGAGUGGAAUUCCGAGUGUAGAGGUGAAAUUCGUAGAUAUUCGGAAGAACACCAGUGGCGAAGGCGGCUCACUGGACCGGUAUUGACGCUGAUGUGCGAAAGCGUGGGGAGCAAACGGG
rnacentral:rRNA from 1 species